GAUGAAGAACGUAGCGAAAUGCGAUAAGUAAUGUGAAUUGCAGAAUUCAGUGAAUCAUCGAAUCUUUGAACGCACCUUGCGCCCUUUGGCUAUUCCGAAGGGCAUGCCUGUUUGAGUAUCAUGAACACCUCAACUCUCAUGGCUUGCUGUGAUGAGCUUGGAAUUUGGGGGUCUUGUUGGCUUGUGAGCCAGCUCCUCCUAAAUGAAUUAGCUUGCCGGUGUUUGGUGGCAUCACAGGUGUGAUAACUAUCUACUCUUGUGGUUUCCCAUCAGGUAACCUCCAGUGAUGGAGGUUCGCUGGGGCUCAUAAUGUCUCUCCUCAGUGAGGACAGAUUUUGACUGUUUGAUCUCAAAUCAGGUAGGACUACCCGCUGAACUUAAGCAUAUCAAUAAGCGGAGGA
rnacentral:misc_RNA from 1 species